CCUACGGGGGGCAGCAGUGAGGAAUAUUGGUCAAUGGACGCAAGUCUGACCCAGCCAUGCCGCGUGCAGGAAGACGGCUCUAUGAGUUGUAACCUGCUUUUGUACGAGGGUAAACGCAGAUACGCGUAUCUGUCUGAAAGUAUCGUACGAUUAAGGAUCGGCUAACUCCGUGCCAGCAGCCGCGGUAAUACGGAGGAUUCAAGCGUUAUCCGGAUUUAUUGGGUUUAAAGGGUGCGUAGGCGGUCGGAUAAGUUAGAGGUGAAAUCCCGAGGCUCAACUUCGGAAUUGCCUCUGAUACUGUUCGGCUAGAGAGUAGUUGCGGUAGGCGGAAUGUAUGGUGUAGCGGUGAAAUGCUUAGAGAUCAUACAGAACACCGAUUGCGAAGGCAGCUUACCAAGCUACUUCUGACGUUGAGGCACGAAAGCGUGGGGAGCAAACAGGAUUAGAUACCCUAGUAGUC
rnacentral:rRNA from 1 species